GACGAACGCUGGCGGCGUGCUUAACACAUGCAAGUCAAACGGAAAGGCCCUGCUUUUGUGGGGUGCUCGAGUGGCGAACGGGUGAGUAACACGUGAGUAACCUGCCCAUGACUUUGGGAUAACUUCAGGAAACUGGGGCUAAUACCGGAUAGGAGCUCCUGCUGCAUGGUGGGGGUUGGAAAGUUUCGGCGGUUGGGGAUGGACUCGCGGCUUAUCAGCUUGUUGGUGGGGUAGUGGCUUACCAAGGCUUUGACGGGUAGCCGGCCUGAGAGGGUGACCGGCCACAUUGGGACUGAGAUACGGCCCAGACUCCUACGGGAGGCAGCAGUGGGGAAUAUUGCACAAUGGGCGGAAGCCUGAUGCAGCAACGCCGCGUGCGGGAUGACGGCCUUCGGGUUGUAAACCGCUUUCGCCUGUGACGAAGCGUGAGUGACGGUAAUGGGUAAAGAAGCACCGGCUAACUACGUG
rnacentral:rRNA from 1 species